AAGUUACCGCAACGAAGAGUAUUCACAAUCCCUGCCUUGACCGCAGUCUAGGAAUGGGGCGCGAUGAGGUAUCGACACUCUUGAGCAAAUUCUCCUGAAUUUGGAGUCAACGUGAUCAAACCUCCACUCGGGGCAUCCACCAUCACUUUGCUGGGCGAUAACAUCUUUCGUUGAAGCUUUGUGUUCGACUAAAGUCGUCUCUGCGGACGUUGGUGUUUCUCGGCCUAGUUUAGCUUAGCCGAGUUUGCAACUGCGGUCAAGCGAGCCAGCCUCCACUCGCAAAAUCGAAGUCAAGUGAGCCGCCACUGCGAUUGUCAAUACUGUGCAUUACGGUAAUCUGUCGCCGGCGAGCGGCGUUGGCCACCUUCAAAAUAAAAGAAUCACCACUCAUGCAUAAAGGUCAUUUGUUAGGGUUAAAAGAAAUUAAUAAAAGUAUAAAAUAAGUAAUUUCUUGGCUGUCGGGUAAAGAUUCACUGAGGAAGAACAAGAACUCUCAGAACAGCACCAAUAAGCUUUCUCAAUUGGAGAUAGAAAAUAAAGCCAAUGCAGGGAUGGCAAUUUUUCACGGAUACGCGGAAAUCCGCUGUUUUAUUGAUCAUUUUUGUGAAUCGUCUAAAUCCGUUGAGAAAAUUUUAGGGGGGGUCUUAUCGUCGAGUUUUCAUGAGCUCUCCCGAUCAGUCUUUCCAUCUUCCGACUGUAAACAGCCCUGUGAUUGGACGUGUAUGAUGUCUUACUUGUUGUGAUUGGUUGCCCCGUCCAGGCCACGCCCCAUUUCGCUUUUUUCAUCACUGGCCAUUGCCAUCCCUGCAAUGGUAAUUCUCCAUCAAUUUCACCUGAUAUUAAAAAAUAUACUGUAUAUAUUUAAAAAACCAAUCUCGGUGAUCGCACAACCACACCAGGUUGUCGACACACUCGGGCACGCCAGGUAUACAACCACAGUACUGGCGUUGAGAUCGAAUGUUCCAUUACCAAUUAAAAUGCCUCUCAAAAAUGACAUUUUGAGCUCCUCUCCUUAUUUCAAAAGAUUCUUGAAAAUGAAUUUUAGUGAUCCCUCAAUCAAACCAGAUUUGCAGGACACUAGAGCACUGCAGGUGUCCCACAAGACCAUUCGGAUCUCGUCGGCCUCUGAAAAGUGACAAGAUGGCCUCCGUUCUGACAUGACUUGCAUUCUAACAUGUUGAUCUUUUUGCCCAUUUAUAGAACAUCCUAAAAGAAGGAAUCCAGCACUCUCCACCCAGAUCACCUUCGCCCGGAUCGGAGUUUGCAUUUUGAAACAAAAGGUUUCUGAAAACUGUCAUGUUGACCUGAUUUCUGACAAGUUGGCCUGAACGCCUAACAUGUUGACAUUUUUGACCGUUUUGAAAAAAAUCCUAAAAAUUUAAACUUUCUUAUCCCGUGAGGGCUGUAGGUCAGGGGAUAACUAUUGCACUUCGGCUAUCCUACCCGACCACUUUCGUUCGAAUCCGAUGUUGCAUUUGGGAAUAAAAGGCCUCUCAAAAGAGAAAAUAUGACCUGGGUCCCGACAAGUUGGCCUAAACGCCUAACGUGAACUUCAAUAAAGCCCACCAGAAAUAAAAGAUUAAUUUGUCGCUAGUCGUUUUCAACAAAGAGAGUGUCGCUAAGAUGAUGAGAAGAAGUCUCCAGUUCAACUCAGAACAGAAUGAGAAUUGAAAAAUGCACCCACUAAUGCAGACACCAAAAGAUUGGUGAUUGGCUCA